rnacentral:snRNA from 1 species
CUGUCUUUGGCCACACAUAUACUAAAACUGGAACUAUUCAGAGAUUAGCAUGGCCCCUAUGCAAGGAUGACAUGCACAUUUGUGAGUGCUCCUUUUUUUUU